AUCCUUUCGCAUUGGCGUUUUCAUAGUCAAUGAGGUUCUAUUGAGAUGUGAUUAUUGCUGGUUGAAAACUUUACCCAAUACCCUGCUGGGAUGACUUGAAAUAUAGUCAGCUCUGGCAAUUUUUGUCAGUCUUAUGGAGA